CUCGUAGGCGGUUCGUCGCGUCCGGUGUGAAAGUCCAUCGCUUAACGGUGGAUCCGCGCCGGGUACGGGCGGGCUUGAGUGCGGUAGGGGAGACUGGAAUUCCCGGUGUAACGGUGGAAUGUGUAGAUAUCGGGAAGAACACCAAUGGCGAAGGCAGGUCUCUGGGCCGUCACUAACGCUGAGGAGCGAAAGCGUGGGGAGCGAACA
rnacentral:rRNA from 1 species